AAUUUUUAAUCAUUUUAUUAAAAUUAAUAAAAUUACAUUCAAAUCCUUUUUCAAUUAAAUAAUUUCAAUUUUAAUAUUCAUUUAAAUAAAUUUAUUGUAAUUCAUUUAUUCUAAAUUAUUAAUUACAUCUUGAUUUGAUUUAAUUUUAUUUCUAAAACUUUAAAUAUUAUAAAUUUAUAAAAAAUAUUUUUUUAACAAUGAUAUAUAAAUUUUUAAAUUAAGUAAAUUAAUUCGUGGAUUAUCAAUUAUUAAACAAAUUCCUCUAAAUAAAAUAAAAUACUGCCAAAUUAUUUAAGUUUCAUAUAAUAAUAUAAAUUACUAUUUUAGUACUAAAACAUUUAAUUUUAUAAUAGGGUA
rnacentral:rRNA from 1 species